rnacentral:rRNA from 1 species
AUUGAACGCUGGCGGCAGGCCUAACACAUGCAAGUCGAGCGGAGCGGCGGACGGGUGAGUAAUGCCUAGGAAUCUGCCUGGUAGUGGGGGAUAACGUCCGGAAACGGGCGCUAAUACCGCAUACUAUCAGAUGAGCCUAGGUCGGAUUAGCUAGUUGGUGGGGUAACGGCCUACCAAGGCGGCGAUCCGUAACUGGUCUGAGAGUAUGAUCAGUCACGCUGGAACUGUGAGACGGUCCAGACUCCUCAGGGAGUCAGCAGGGAGGAAUAUGGGCCAAUGGGCGAAAGCCUUAUCCAGCCAUGCCGCGGGUGUGAAGAAGGGCUUCGGAUUGUAAAGCGCUGUUAGGUGGGAGGCGUUACCUACAGACUGAGCCCCUGCUAACUCCCUGCCAGCAGCCGCGGUAAUAC